rnacentral:rRNA from 1 species
AUGAACGCUAGCUACAGGCUUAACACAUGCAAGUCGAGGGGCAGCAUCAUCAAAGCUUGCUUUGAUGGAUGGCGACCGGCGCACGGGUGAGUAACACGUAUCCAACCUGCCGACAACACUGGGAUAGCCUUUCGAAAGAAAGAUUAAUACCGGAUGGCAUAAUUAUUCCGCAUGGGAUAAUUAUUAAAGAAUUUCGGUUGUCGAUGGGGAUGCGUUCCAUUAGGCAGUUGGCGGGGUAACGGCCCACCAAACCUACGAUGGAUAGGGGUUCUGAGAGGAAGGUCCCCCACAUUGGAACUGAGACACGGUCCAAACUCCUACGGGAGGCAGCAGUGAGGAAUAUUGGUCAAUGGACGAGAGUCUGAACCAGCCAAGUAGCGUGAAGGAUGACUGCCCUAUGGGUUGUAAACUUCUUUUAUACGGGAAUAAAGUGAGCCACGUGUGGCUUUUUGUAUGUACCGUAUGAAUAAGGAUCGGCUAACUCCGUGCCAGCAGCCGCGGUAAUACGGAGGAUUCGAGCGUUAUCCGGAUUUAUUGGGUUUAAAGGGAGCGUAGGCGGGUUGUUAAGUCAGUUGUGAAAGUUUGCGGCUCAACCGUAAAAUUGCAGUUGAUACUGGCGACCUUGAGUGCAACAGAGGUAGGCGGAAUUCGUGGUGUAGCGGUGAAAUGCUUAGAUAUCACGAAGAACUCCGAUUGCGAAGGCAGCUUACUGGAUUGUAACUGACGCUGAUGCUCGAAAGUGUGGGUAUCAAACAGGAUUAGAUACCCUGGUAGUCCACACAGUAAACGAUGAAUACUCGCUGUUGGCGAUAUACGGUCAGCGGCCAAGCGAAAGCAUUAAGUAUUCCACCUGGGGAGUACGCCGGCAACGGUGAAACUCAAAGGAAUUGACGGGGGCCCGCACAAGCGGAGGAACAUGUGGUUUAAUUCGAUGAUACGCGAGGAACCUUACCCGGGCUUAAAUUGCAACUGACGGAACCGGAAACGGUUCUUUCUUCGGACAGUUGUGAAGGUGCUGCAUGGUUGUCGUCCGCUCGUGCCGUGAGGUGUCGGCUUAAGUGCCAUAACGAGCGCAACCCUUACGGGUAGUUACCAUCAGGUUAUGCUGGGGACUCUACCCGGACUGCCGUCGUAAGAUGUGAGGAAGGUGGGGAUGACGUCAAAUCAGCACGGCCCUUACGUCCGGGGCUACACACGUGUUACAAUGGGGGGUACAGAAGGCAGCUACACGGCGACGUGGUGCUAAUCCCAAAAGCCUCUCUCAGUUCGGAUUGGAGUCUGCAACCCGACUCCAUGAAGCUGGAUUCGCUAGUAAUCGCGCAUCAGCCACGGCGCGGUGAAUACGUUCCCGGGCCUUGUACACACCGCCCGUCAAGCCAUGAAAGCCGGGGGUACCUGAAGUACGUAACCGCGAGGAGCGUCCUAGGGUAAAACUGGUGAUUGGGGCU